UAACAGAUUAUUUAUUGUUUUGUUGUCCUAUCACUGAUGUUUCUACUACAACCCCCUCUAGCAUGAGACACUAGAUGGUGUCCUAACAGAAGAUGUUAGGAGAAAGGGCACAAAUCUUAGAUUACCAUGACAAGUUUCUCCAGGGCACCCAAAACCAGGUGCAGGAUACCAGUGGCUGUUCCUGCAGCUACCUGCAGACAUUCACAUCCAUCUCUCUGCAGAAGACCUGAGCUUGUUUAUCACUGCCCAGAGCCCUCACUGACAGCUAGGCCUGUAUCACAAACAUCCUGAAACCAAGCAGAGGAAAGACACUGCAUUCUUUCUGGACCAUCUUCUUUCUUCUCCUGUCCUCAAAGCCCUUCUGUUCCUGAAAGUGCCAGGAGGUCACCCAAGCUGAUCAGGCACCUCAGACAGGAAGAUGCCUCUGCAGAGGAAUGGGAGACAUUUUUUAUGGCUGCAGCUCCAGGAUGACUCCUGCCAGUGAUCUUGUUUUCCUGGGACCUGAGCAGUGAUGCUGGCACAGCACACCAUGACACUUCCAUUCAGUCAGACUGUGUCAAGGAAUUUAUCUGAGAAAAAGUGAAGCGAGUAUCUCCAAAUAUAUGCCCCACAAAAUCUUUCACUUCAGUUGGAGGCUUAAUAUCAUACCUUCAUCAGGUAAUCUCCUUUCUUCAAAACAUUAAAUUGCUUAUAACAAUACAUUUUUUGAACUCUACACUGAAAGUGUUCAAAAAAUGUGUAAUUGUGGAACUUAGGGACGUGGU